ACGCACGCUGGCGGCGUGCUUAACACAUGCAAGUCGAACGGAAAGGCCCUGCUUUUGUGGGGUGCUCGAGUGGCGAACGGGUGAGUAACACGUGAGUAACCUGCCCUUGACUUUGGGAUAACUUCAGGAAACUGGGGCUAAUACCGGAUAGGAGCUCCUGCUGCAUGGUGGGGGUUGGAAAGUUUCGGCGGUUGGGGAUGGACUCGCGGCUUAUCAGCUUGUUGGUGGGGUAGUGGCUUACCAAGGCUUUGACGGGUAGCCGGCCUGAGAGGGUGACCGGCCACAUUGGGACUGAGAUACGGCCCAGACUCCUACGGGAGGCAGCAGUGGGGAAUAUUGCACAAUGGGCGGAAGCCUGGUGCAGCAACGCCGCGUGCGGGAUGACGGCCUUCGGGUUGUAAACCGCUUUCGCCUGUGACGAAGCGUGAGUGACGGUAAUGGGUAAAGAAGCACCGGCUAACUACGUG
rnacentral:rRNA from 1 species